GUGCUUGCUUUAGUGGCACAUAUACUGAAACUGGAAUGACACAGAGAAGAUUGGCAUGGCUCCUGUGUAAUGAUGACACGCAAAUUCAUGAAGUGUUCCAUAUAUUU